rnacentral:rRNA from 1 species
UACGAAGGGGGCUAGCGUUGCUCGGAAUCACUGGGCGUAAAGCGCACGUAGGCGGAUUGCUAAGUCAGGGGUGAAAUCCUGGAGCUCAACUCCAGAACUGCCUUUGAUACUGGCAACCUUGAGUCCUGGAGAGGAAGGUGGAAUGCUUGGUGUAGAGGUGAAAUUCGUAGAUAUCAAGCGGAACACCGGUGGCGAAGGCGGCCUUCUGGACAGUGACUGACGCUGAGACGCGAAAGCGUGGGGAGCAAACAGGG